AGGGUGACAGGUGGUGCGAUGGUUGUCGUCAGCUCGUGUCGUGAGAUGUUGGUUAAGUCCCGCAACGAGCGCAACCCCUAUUGUUAGUUGCCAUCAUUCAGUUGGGCACUCUAGCGAGACUGCCGGUAAUAAACCGGAGGAAGGUGGGGAUGACGUCAAAUCAUCAUGCCCCUUAUGACCUGGGCUACACACGUGCUACAAUGGUUGGUACAACGAGUUGCGAGUCGGUGACGGCGAGCUAAUCUCUUAAAGCCAAUCUCAGUUCGGAUUGUAGGCUGCAACUCGCCUACAUGAAGUCGGAAUCGCUAGUAAUCGCGGAUCAGCACGCCGCGGUGAAUACGUUCCCGGGCCUU
rnacentral:rRNA from 1 species